rnacentral:misc_RNA from 1 species
UCUCCGUUGGUGAACCAGCGGAGGGAUCAUUACAGAGUUGCAAAACUCCCUAGACCAUCGCGAACCCUACCUUACAACCGUUGCUUCGGCGGGCGGGGGCGCCCAGCGCGCCCCCCCGGGCCCCCACGGGCGCCCGCCGGAGGCACCAAACUCUUGUUUAUCACGCGGCCUCUCUGAGUAUUCUGUACUGAAUAAGUCAAAACUUUCAACAACGGAUCUCUUGGUUCUG